CAAAAGUGCCAUAGAGUGAAAGUUCCAUUGAGAAGAGGGCGAAAGGAGGGUGGUUUUGAAAAAGGCUUCCUUGAGUAGCUUUUUCUGCACAGCUCAUCAUUUCUGCCCAUUCUAAACACAUUCCAACCAUUAAAAUCAUGCCAGGACACCUCAUUUUUGUGACCCUAACCCUACC